UACAGAGGGUGCGAGCGUUGUUCGGAUUUACUGGGCGUAAAGGGUGCGUAGGUGGUUGGGUAAGUUUGAUGUGAAAUCUCCGGGCUUAACCCGGAAAUGGCAUUGAAUACUAUUCGGCUAGAGGUUUGGAGGGGGGACUGGAAUUCUUGGUGUAGCAGUGAAAUGCGUAGAUAUCAAGAGGAACACCAGUGGCGAAGGCGAGUCCCUGGACAACACCUGACACUGAGGCACGAAAGCUAGGGGAGCAAACAGG
rnacentral:rRNA from 1 species